rnacentral:rRNA from 1 species
UUCCGGUUGAUCCUGCCGGACCUGACUGCUAUCGGAUUGAUACUAAGCCAUGCGAGUCAUUGUAGCAAUACAAGGCAUACGGCUCAGUAACGCGUAGUCAACCUAACCUAUGGACGGGAAUAACCUCGGGAAACUGAGAAUAAUGCCCGAUAGAACAUUAUGCCUGGAAUGGCUUAUGUUCCAAAUGAUUUAUCGCCGUAGGAUGGGACUGCGGCCUAUCAGUUUGUUGGUGAGGUAAUGGCCCACCAAGACUAUUACAGGUACGGGCUCUGAGAGGAGUAGCCCGGAGAUGGGUACUGAGACACGGACCCAGGCCCUAUGGGGCGCAGCAGGCGAGAAAACUUUGCAAUGUGCGAAAGCACGACAAGGUUAAUCCGAGUGAUUUGUGCUAAACGAAUCUUUUGUUAGUCCUAGAAACACUAACGAAUAAGGGGUGGGCAAGUUCUGGUGUCAGCCGCCGCGGUAAAACCAGCACCUCAAGUGGUCAGGAUGAUUAUUGGGCCUAAAGCAUCCGUAGCCGGCUCUGUAAGUUUUCGGUUAAAUCUGUACGCUCAACGUACAGGCUGCCGGGAAUACUGCAGAGCUAGGGAGUGGGAGAAGUAGACGGUACUCGGUAGGAAGUGGUAAAAUGCUUUGAUCUAUCGAUGACCACCUGUGGCGAAGGCGGUCUACUAGAACACGUCCGACGGUGAGGGAUGAAAGCUGGGGGAGCAAACCGGAUUAGAUACCCGGGUAGUCCCAGCUGUAAACUAUGCAAACUCAGUGAUGCAUUGGCUUGUGGCCAAUGCAGUGCUGCAGGGAAGCCGUUAAGUUUGCCGCCUGGGAAGUACGUACGCAAGUAUGAAACUUAAAGGAAUUGGCGGGGGAGCACCACAAGGGGUGAAGCCUGCGGUUCAAUUGGAUUCAACGCCGGG